rnacentral:rRNA from 1 species
CCUAACCGUGCGAAGGUAGCACAAUCACUUGUUCUUUAAAUCAGGACCAGUAUGAACGGCCCCACGAGAGCUAUACUGUCUCCCCCCUUCAAUCAGUGAAACUAAUCUCCUCGUGAAGAAGCGAGGAUAAUUAUAUAAGACGAGAAGACCCCAUGGAGCUUUAAACUUGUACCACUGCCUUAAACCACACCAAUUAACCCAGGCAAAUAAUGGCUACGAGUCUUUCGGCUGGGGCGACCACGGAGAAAAACCAAACCUCCACGAUGAAAGGGGCAACCCUAAUCAAAGAGCUACCGCUCAAAGAAUCAAUAAACUGACAUGAUUGACCCAAUUUUUGAUCAACGAACCAAGUUACCCUGGGGAUAACAGCGCAAUCCAUUUCAAGAGACCCCAUCGACAAAUGGGCUUACGACCUCGAUGUUGGAUCAGGGUAUCCCAGUGGUGCAGCCGCUACUAAAGGUUCGUUUGUUCAACGAUUAAAACCCUACGUG